UUUUAACUUUAUUCAAGUAAUAUUAUAAUAAAAAACUCAUGUAUAAUGGCGGUUUCAAAAUAUUAGAGAAACUCGCUUAUUAAUCGAUAAUACCCGUUUAAUUUGACUUAAUUUAACACUCAUAUACCGCCGUUUACAGAAUUAACAUUAAAAUUUAAUUCACAAUAAUUAUUAAUUUAAAAAUCAGGUCAAGGUGUGGUUAUUAAUUGAGUUUAAGUAAGUUACAAUAAAAAAUAUUCAAGGAUUAUAAUAAAAAUUAUUAAAUGAAAAAGAAUUUAAAGGUACAUAAAAAUUAAAAAUUUCACUCGAAACAACAAAUUGAAGCGC
rnacentral:rRNA from 1 species